CAAACACUUUGCACCACAGGUUGUGAAUGCAAAACACACUGAAGAGACUGCAGCCGGCGCGCACCUCCUUGUACAGCUUACGGUGACAUCAUCACAAGCAUGUGUGACAUCACAAGGUUCUAAACCAUCUUCAGUGCAGACCUGCGUCCUCAGAAGACAGAACUUCCUGGCCCACAAACAGUGACAUCACAGGAGCCUUUGAAUCAAACGGUUACCUUCCAGCGGGAAACAGAACGGUAGAAAUGCUGCCGGCCGGAGCUGUCUCCCGUUCUAUUCCCAAACACAUCACUUCCACUUGUCAGGAUAAUCUAUAGGAGAAGAUCCUGAAAACCAACAUCCUCAUCAUUGCUACUGCUACCAGCAUCCUUCUCCAUAUUUGAAGAUACCACCCACCACUACUACUACUUAGCAAGUGACAACAUAGUAUCACAUCCUGGAAGUGUAAGUGCCUUUAUGCAUGCAUGUUUUUUCAUCAUCAACACAUACAUAGUCUCCAAUAUAUACUUCAAUAGCUCAG